UUUUGACCUCGGAUCAGGUAGGGAUACCCGCUGAACUUAAGCAUAUCAAUAAGCGGAGGAAAAGAAGCCAACAGGGAUUGCCCUAGUAACGGCGAGUGAAGCGGCAACAGCUCAAAUUUGAAAUCUGGCUCUUUUAGAGUCCGAGUUGUAAUUUGCAGAGGGCGCUUUGGCUUUGGCAGCGGUCCAAGUUCCUUGGAACAGGACGUCACAGAGGGUGAGAAUCCCGUACGUGGUCGCUGGCUAUUGCCGUGUAAAGCCCCUUCGACGAGUCGAGUUGUUUGGGAAUGCAGCUCUAAAUGGGAGGUACAUUUCUUCUAAAGCUAAAUAUUGGCCAGAGACCGAUAGCGCACAAGUAGAGUGAUCGAAAGAUGAAAAGCACUUUGGAAAGAGAGUCAAACAGCACGUGAAAUUGUUGAAAGGGAAGCGCUUGCAGCCAGACUUGCUUGCAGUUGCUCAUCCGGGCUUUUGCCCGGUGCACUCUUCUGUAGGCAGGCCAGCAUCAGUUUGGGCGGUGGGAUAAAGGUCUCUGUCACGUACCUCUCUUCGGGAAGGCCUUAUAGGGGAGACGACAUACCACCAGCCUGGACUGAGGUCCGCGCAUCUGCUAGGAUGCUGGCGUAAUGGCUGUAAGCGGC
rnacentral:rRNA from 1 species